rnacentral:lncRNA from 12 species
AUGAGGUCAUGGAUUCUGAUGACGAUGCGCUCGUCAUUUACUGUAGUCUUCUGCUCAGCGGUCUUGUCCACAUCCGCUCCUUCCUCGAGCUCACGUGGAUGGCCGAGGCCUCCACCUGGGCUUGCUCCAGACCUGGCUGAUCUCGUUAGGCGGCGUCAGGGUCUCUCCCACGGAGUCUUCAGUGCUCGCGAUCUCUGGCCUUCCUUUUCAGUUCUUUCUCGUGCAGUCCGGUUCUUCGUUGGGCAGCCCUCAGGCACCACUGGAGGAGGGGAAAUCAUGUUAAUGGAAAUAAGCAUAUGUCUCCAGAUCCAAAAGCCAGAACUUACGGGGCAAUGAUAAAAGAAAUCAGAGGGUGAGUACAUUUGUGAGGAUUAUCACUGAUAUGCAUUGCUCCCAUAUCUCUUUUUCCCUUUGCCCUUGGUAGGAGUCUGUUUUUGUGAGUGUGCUCUGAGUGAGUCUGCUUCUCUUAAGUAAAAAGCCGCUCUGUUUCUUUUAAACUGAAAAUCCAGGAAGCAGUGGGCAUUAGGGAGGUAUAGCUAUCAGCAGACAGGGUGGCCCCUUAACACUGACAGUGUCAGUAUUGAAGACCACUUCAAUCAUACUUUGUGACAAAACUAUAAUAUGAAACGUUGAGUGUAUAAAUAGCUCAGAUAUUGAUAUAUUCAUGCAAUUAUAGAAAAAAUUCUAGACCCCUUUAUUUAUUUACAUUUUCCAAAAAUCAUCCUGAACCUAAAUAGAACUUACAGAUUGGUAUGAUUAAUUCCCAAUAGCACACUAGUCUAACUGUAAGAUUAGUUCCUAAUAUAUCAAUAAACACUAUAGUAAGUCAUUACA